rnacentral:misc_RNA from 1 species
GUAGGUGAACCUGCGGAAGGAUCAUUAAUGAAACUUCAAAGUCGGCCUGUUCUGUGCUGGUGUGGUCAAACACACAUGUGCACGUCUGGUCGCAAUCCACACACCUGUGCAUCUAUGACUCGAGGUUGUAAUGACUGAGAGUACUUUUUAUACACUCUGAAUGUAAUGGAAUGUCUAUGUGCUAUAAUGUACAAAUAAACAACUUUCAACAACGGAUCUCUUGGCUCUCGCAUCGAUGAAGAACGCAGCA